rnacentral:rRNA from 1 species
AUUGAACGCUGGCGGCGUGCUUUACACAUGCAAGUCGAGCGGCAGCACGACCUUCGGGUUGGUGGCGAGCGGCGAACGGGUGAGUAAUACAUCGGAACGUACCUUUUAGUGGGGAUAACGCAUCGAAAGAUGUGCUAAUACCGCAUAAUCUCUGAGGAGGAAAGGCGGGGACCUUCAGGCCUGUCGCUGAAAGAGCGGCCGAUGGCUGAUUAGCUAGUUGGUAGGGUAAAGGCCUACCAAGGCGAUGAUCAGUAGCUGUUCUGAGAGGAAGAUCAGCCACACUGGGACUGAGACACGGCCCAGACUCCUACGGGAGGCAGCAGUGGGGAAUUUUGGACAAUGGGGGAAACCCUGAUCCAGCAACGCCGCGUGAAUGAAGAAGGCCUUCGGGUUGUAAAGUUCUUUUGUCAGGGAGCAAAGGGUGGAUGCUAACACCAUCUAUCGCUGAGAGUACCUGAAGAAUAAGCACCGGCUAACUACGUGCCAGCCGCCGCAGUAAGAC